rnacentral:rRNA from 1 species
GAUGAACGCUGGCGGCGUGCCUAAUACAUGCAAGUCGAGCGAACGGACGAGAAGCUUGCUUCUCUGAUGUUAGCGGCGGACGGGUGAGUAACACGUGGAUAACCUACCUAUAAGACUGGGAUAACUUCGGGAAACCGGAGCUAAUACCGGAUAAUAUUUUGAACCGCAUGGUUCAAAAGUGAAAGACGGUCUUGCUGUCACUUAUAGAUGGAUCCGCGCUGCAUUAGCUAGUUGGUAAGGUAACGGCUUACCAAGGCAACGAUGCAUAGCCGACCUGAGAGGGUGAUCGGCCCCACUGGAGCUGAGACACGGUCCAGACUCCUACGGGAGGCAGCAGUAGGGAAUCUUCCGCAAUGGGCGGAAGCCUGACGGAGCAACGCCGCGUGAGUGAUGAAGGUCUUCGGAUCGUAAAACUCUGUUAUUAGGGAAGAACAUAUGUGUAAGUAACUGUGCACAUCUUGACGGUACCUAAUCAGAAAGCCACGGCUAACUACGUG